rnacentral:rRNA from 1 species
UACGUAGGGGGCUAGCGUUGUCCGGAAUCAUUGGGCGUAAAGCGCGCGUAGGCGGCCAGAUAAGUCCGGUGUGAAAGCCACAGGCUCAACCUGUGAAUGCCGCUGGAAACUGUCUGGCUAGAGUCCGGGAGGGGCGAGUGGAAUUCCUGGUGUAACGGUGAAAUGUGUUGAUAUCAGGAGGAACACCCAUGGCGAAGGCAGCAGACUGGGCGUUUCCUGACGCUGAGGCGCGAAAGCGUGGGUAGCAAACAGG